GCGAACUGGUGAGUAACACGUGGGAAACCUGCCCAGAAGCGGGGGAUAACACCUGGAAACAGAUGCUAAUACCGCAUAACAACUUGGACCGCAUGGUCCGAGUUUGAAAGAUGGCUUCGGCUAUCACUUUUGGAUGGUCCCGCGGCGUAUUAGCUAGAUGGUGAGGUAACGGCUCACCAUGGCAAUGAUACGUAGCCGACCUGAGAGGGUAAUCGGCCACAUUGGGACUGAGACACGGCCCAAACUCCUACGGGAGGCAGCAGUAGGGAAUCUUCCACAAUGGACGAAAGUCUGAUGGAGCAACGCCGCGUGAGUGAAGAAGGGUUUCGGCUCGUAAAACUCUGUUGUUAAAGAAGAACAUAUCUGAGAGUAACUGUUCAGGUAUUGACGGUAUUUAACCAGAAAGCCACGGCUAACUACGUGCCAGCAGCCGCGGUAAUACGUAGGUGGCAAGCGUUGUCCGGAUUUAUUGGGCGUAAAGCGAGCGCAGGCGGUUUUUUAAGUCUGAUGUGAAAGCCUUCGGCUCAACCGAAGAAGUGCAUCGGAAACUGGGAAACUUGAGUGCAGAAGAGGACAGUGGAACUCCAUGUGUAGCGGUGAAAUGCGUAGAUAUAUGGAAGAACACCAGUGGCGAAGGCGGCUGUCUGGUCUGUAACUGACGCUGAGGCUCGAAAGUAUGGGUAGCAAACAGGAUUAGAUACCCUGGUAGUCCAUACCGUAAACGAUGAAUGCUAAGUGUUGGAGGGUUUCCGCCCUUCAGUGCUGCAGCUAACGCAUUAAGCAUUCCGCCUGGGGAGUACGGCCGCAAGGCUGAAACUCAAAGGAAUUGACGGGGGCCCGCACAAGCGGUGGAGCAUGUGGUUUAAUUCGAAGCUACGCGAAGAACCUUACCAGGUCUUGACAUACUAUGCAAAUCUAAGAGAUUAGACGUUCCCUUCGGGGACAUGGAUACAGGUGGUGCAUGGUUGUCGUCAGCUCGUGUCGUGAGAUGUUGGGUUAAGUCCCGCAACGAGCGCAACCCUUAUUAUCAGUUGCCAGCAUUAAGUUGGGCACUCUGGUGAGACUGCCGGUGACAAACCGGAGGAAGGUGGGGAUGACGUCAAAUCAUCAUGCCCCUUAUGACCUGGGCUACACACGUGCUACAAUGGAUGGUACAACGAGUUGCGAACUCGCGAGAGUAAGCUAAUCUCUUAAAGCCAUUCUCAGUUCGGAUUGUAGGCUGCAACUCGCCUACAUGAAGUCGGAAUCGCUAGUAAUCGCGGAUCAGCAUGCCGCGGUGAAUACGUUCCCGGGCCUUGUACACA
rnacentral:rRNA from 2 species